UGGGGGAUAUUGCACAAUGGGCGAAAGCCUGAUGCAGCAACGCCGCGUGAGGGAAGACGGUUUUCGGAUUGUAAACCUCUGUCUUCGGUGAAGAAACAAAUGACGGUAACCGAGGAGGAAGCCACGGCUAACUACGUGCCAGCAGCCGCGGUAAUACGUAGGUGGCAAGCGUUGUCCGGAAUUACUGGGUGUAAAGGGAGAGCAGGCGGGGAGACAAGUCAGCUGUGAAAACUGUGGGCUUAACCCAUAAACUGCAGUUGAAACUGUUUUUCUUGAGUGGAGUAGAGGGAGGCGGAAUUCCGAGUGUAGCGGUGAAAUGCGUAGAUAUUCGGAGGAACACCAGUGGCGAAGGCGGCCUACUGGGCUCUAACUGACGCUGAGGCUCGAAAGUGUGGGGAGCAAACA
rnacentral:rRNA from 1 species